CAGUCGUACCGGUGGGUAAUCAGCCUUUCGGCGUGAUUAUGUGGAGCGUGAGGAGUUAAACGCCCUCAUGCCUGCAUAUUCGUGUUCUUUGGGUGUACUUACCCGCAUGGUAGGUUAACAUCAAUUUCGAACGUCAUAAAAUGGUUGGAGGAAUGUAGCUUCGAUCUCGUAUUGAAGUGUUAUAGCCUCCGGCAGAUGUGAUGAUCGGGAUUGAGGAUUGCAAACGGAUACCCUUCGGGGCUACCCGUCUGAUCUCUGAAAGUUACUCUGGUGCCGAAAGCUCGCUUACGGUCAUCAAAGUUGACGUUCAACAGGUUAGAACGGGAUAAA
rnacentral:rRNA from 1 species